CGUUGAAACACAUGCUUCUCUACGAUCACCGAAUUUAAGCAACGUCGAGCCUGGUGAGUACCUAGAUGGGUGACCGCUUGGGAAUACCAGCUGCUGUAAG